GAUGAACGCUGGCGGCGUGCCUAAUACAUGCAAGUCGAGCGAACGGACGAGAAGCUUGCUUCUCUGAUGUUAGCGGCGGACGGGUGAGUAACACGUGGAUAACCUACCUAUAAAACUGGGAUAACUUCGGGAAACCGGAGCUAAUACCGGAUGAUAUUUUGAACCGCAUGGUUCAAAAGUGAAAGACGGUCUUGCUGUCACUUAUAGAUGGAUCCGCGCUGCAUUAGCCAGUUGGUAAGGUAACGGCUUACCAAGGCAACGAUGCAUAGCCGACCUGAGAGGGUGAUCGGCCACACUGGAACGGAGACACGGUCCAGACUCCUACGGGAGGCAGCAGUAGGGAAUCUUCCGCAAUGGGCGAAAGCCUGACGGAGCAACGCCGCGUGAGUGAUGAAGGUCUUCGGAUCGUAAAACUCUGUUAUUAGGGAAGAACAUAUGUGUAAGUAACUGUGCACAUCUUGACGGUACCUAAUCAGAAAGCCACGGCUAACUACGUG
rnacentral:rRNA from 1 species